AGUGAACGCUGGCGGUAGGCCUAACACAUGCAAGUCGAACGGCAGCACAGUAAGAGCUUGCUCUUACGGGUGGCGAGUGGCGGACGGGUGAGGAAUACAUCGGAAUCUACUUUUUCGUGGGGGAUAACGUAGGGAAACUUACGCUAAUACCGCAUACGACCUACGGGUGAAAGCAGGGGAUCUUCUGACCUUGCGCGAUUGAAUGAGCCGAUGUCGGAUUAGCUAGUUGGCGGGGUAAAGGCCCACCAAGGCGACGAUCCGUAGCUGGUCUGAGAGGAUGAUAAGCGACACUGGAACUGAGACACGGUCCAGACUCCUAAGGGAGGCAGCAGUGGGGAAUAUUGGACAAAGGGCGCAAGCCUGAUCCAGCCAGACCGCGUGGGUGAAGAAGGCCUUCGGGUUGUAAAGCCCUUUUGUUGGGAAAGAAAAGCAGCAGGUUAAUACCCAGCUGUUCUGACGGUAACCAAAGAAUAAGCACCGGCUAACUCCGUG
rnacentral:rRNA from 1 species